CUGAGAUUGGCUUUGGGCCUUUCCUGCACAGCUUAGGUGGAAGGCGAAGAAGGCCUCCUUCCAGGGGGUUCGAGCCAUCAGUGAGAUACCACUCUGGAAGAGCUAGACUUCUAACCUUGUGUCAGGACGUACGGGCCAAGGGAUAGUCUUAG
rnacentral:sRNA from 1 species